CGAGUGUGACUGUGAACUUGGACAUCUGACCCCAAAGCUCACUCCUGGGACAAACCCAAGAGAAUCGGAAACAGACGUCACACAAAUUGUUGUCCACAGAUGUUCAAAGCAGACUCUUCAUAGCUGCUCAGGUGUCCACAAACGAUCGACAGAUAAGCCCAGCGUGGCCCUCCACACCAGGGAACAGGAUUCCACCAGGAAAAGAAUGAGGCCCGCACGGCUGCAGGGGGUGGAGAGCGUUUGGAACCAGACGGGAGUGAGGGUCACUCAACAUCGCAAAUGGACUAAAUGC
rnacentral:lncRNA from 1 species